rnacentral:rRNA from 1 species
AAAUUGAAGAGUUUGAUCAUGGCUCAGAUUGAACGCUGGCGGCAGGCCUAACACAUGCAAGUCGAACGGUAACAGGAAGCAGCUUGCUGCUUUGCUGACGAGUGGCGGACGGGUGAGUAAUGUCUGGGAAACUGCCUGAUGGAGGGGGAUAACUACUGGAAACGGUGGCUAAUAGCGCAUAACGUCGCAAGACCAAAGAGGGGGACCUUCGGGCCUCUUGCCAUCAGAUGUGCCCAGAUGGGAUUAGCU